GCAAGCAAGUAAGGGCAUAUGGUGGAUGCCUAGGCGUUGGGGGCUGAAGAAGGGCGUGGCAAGCUGCGAAAAGCCUCGGGUAGCCGCAAGCAGGUGAAGAUCCGGGGAUGCCCGAAUGGGGAAACCUGGCUGGGGUAAAGCCCAGUCAAUCCAUGCUGAACCCAUAGGCAUGGAUGAGCAACCGGGGGAACUGAAACAUCUUAGUACCCCGAGGAAAAGAAAACAACCGUGAUUCCCCGAGUAGCGGCGAGCGAAAAGGGAAGAGCCCAAACCUUAAUCGUGAAAAAGACUGUACUCGUUGCGAUUAAGGGGUCGAGGGGCAUACGAGGGGCCUGGUACAGCGGGUCCGGUGAGUAAAAAGGCUUGUGCUUAGAAGAAAAGGUCUGGAAAGUCCUACCGAAGAGAGUAAAAGUCUCGUAUUCGAAAAGGCAAGCGCUCACCUGGUAUGACCCCAAGUACUGCGGGGCACGUGAAAUCCUGCAGGAAUUAGGGAGGACCACCUCCUAAGGCUAAAUACCACCCGACGACCGAUAGUGAACUAGUACCGUGAGGGAAAGGUGAAAAGCACCCCGGGAGGGGAGUGAAAUAGAACCUGAAACCAUAUGCCUACAAGCAGUCAGAGUCUGGCGUUAAGCUGGAUGAUGGCGUACUUUUUGUAGAACGGACCGGCGAGUUGCGUUAUGCAGCGAGGUUAAGGCUUGGAAAGCUGGAGCCGAAGCGAAAGCGAGUCUGAAAAGGGCGAGUGAGUUGCAUGAUGCAGACCCGAAACCGGGUGAGCUACCCAUGGGCAGGGUGAAGCGAGACUAACCUCUCGUGGAGGCCCGAACCGACCGUCGUUGAAACGGCGGCGGAUGACCUGUGGGUAGGGGUGAAAAGCCAACCGAACCCGGAGAUAGCUGGUUCUCCCCGAAAUAGCUUUAGGGCUAGCCUCAGGUGGUACUUUAUGGGGGUAGAGCACUGAUCAGGCUAGGGGCGUCGACCACGUUACCGAACCUUUUCAAACUCCGAAUACCAUAAAGCAAAGCCUGGGAGUCAGACUGUGGGUGAAAAGAUUCACAGUCGAAAGGGAAACAGCCCAGACCGUCAGCUAAGGUCCCGAAGUACAGGCUAAGUGGAAAAGGAUGUGGAGCUACUCAGACAACCAGGAUGUUGGCUUAGAAGCAGCCACCAUUCAAAGAGUGCGUAAUAGCUCACUGGUCAAGUGGCUCUGCGCCGAAAAUGUAACGGGGCUAAGUCUGUCACCGAAGCUACGGAUUUUGGAGGUCGGAAACCAGAGGUCAGAAGUCGGAAAAGGAAGUGAAGGCAUGAUACGCCAAUACCAUGACCUCAAAGUAUACCAAGAGUCAUAUAGACUAGUACUCGAAGUAUACGGGAUAACGAGAGCAAUGCCGGAAUAUGAGAGGCGUGAACUCGGAUACCAGAUGAGGCGUGCAGCAGUAUCAAUACCUGCGAACAUAGCAGAAGGCUAUGGCAGAAAAGAAUCAGCUGCAGAAUUCAAACACUUCCUGAGAAAUGCACUUGGAUCGAAUAAUGAAGUCAGAGUACUAAUUGACCUAGCACACGAUCUUGGAUACAUAACAACAAAAAAACACCAAGAACUAAGCAAACGUUAUGAAAUACUAGGAAAACAGCUGUUUACACUGAUAAAGAAAUGGACUAAGCGCUCUGACAUCUGACAUCUGGCCUCCGACUUCCAAGAUGGUAGGGGAGCGUUCCAGGGGCGUCGAAGGUAUACCGUAAGGUAUGCUGGAGCGACUGGAAGUGAGAAUGCCGGUAUAAGUAAGCGAGAAGGCAGGUGAGAAUCCUGCCCGCCGGAAGCCCGAGGUUUCCUGGGGAAGGCUCGUCCGCCCAGGGUAAGUCGGGACCUAAGCCGAGGCUUAAGAGCGUAGGCGAUGGACAAUCGGUGGAAAUUCCGAUACCGCCGGUAAGCCGUUUGAGCGAAGGGGUGACACAGGAGGGUAGGCACAGCGGGCUGUUGGAAUAGCCCGUCCAAGCUGGUAGGGAGGACUGAUAGGCAAAUCCGUCAGUCUAUAAAUCCUGAGAAGCGAGAGCGAGGGAAAAAUAGUACCGAAGUGGCUGAUCCCACACUGGCGAGAAAAACCUCUAGUGAGGCUUACAGGUGCCCGUACCGAAAACCGACACAGGUAGGCGAGGAGAGAAUCCUAAGGCGCGCGAGAGAACCCUCGUUAAGGAACUCGGCAAACUGACCCCGUAACUUUGGGAGAAGGGGUGCCCCGGUAGGGUGAAGGUUUUAAACAAUUGGAGCCCGAGGGGGUUGCAGAGAAGAGGCCCAAACGACUGUUUACCAAAAACACAGGUCCCUGCGAAAGCGAAAGCUGAUGUAUAGGGGCUGACGCCUGCCCGGUGCUGGAAGGUUAAGGGGAAGAGUGAGAGCUCUGAACCGAAGCCCCAGUAAACGGCGGCCGUAACUAUAACGGUCCUAAGGUAGCGAAAUUCCUUGUCGGGUAAGUUCCGACC
rnacentral:rRNA from 1 species